rnacentral:rRNA from 1 species
AUUGAACGCUGGCGGCAUGCCUUACACAUGCAAGUCGAACGGUAACAGGUCUUCGGAUGCUGACGAGUGGCGAACGGGUGAGUAAUACAUCGGAACGUGCCCGAUCGUGGGGGAUAACGAGGCGAAAGCUUUGCUAAUACCGCAUACGAUCUACGGAUGAAAGCGGGGGAUCUUCGGACCUCGCGCGGACGGAGCGGCCGAUGGCAGAUUAGGUAGUUAGUGGGAUAAAAGCUUACCAAGCCGACGAUCUGUAGCUGGUCUGAGAGGAUGAUCAGCCACACUGGGACUGAGACACGGCCCAGACUCCUACGGGAGGCAGCAGUGGGGAAUUUUGGACAAUGGGCGAAAGCCUGAUCCAGCCAUGCCGCGUGCAGGAUGAAGGCCUUCGGGUUGUAAACUGCUUUUGUACGGAACGAAAAGCCUCUUUCUAAUAAAGAGGGGUCAUGACGGUACCGUAAGAAUAAGCACCGGCUAACUACGUG